GGGGUAUAGUUCUUCGGAAUUAGAGACCGGCGCACGGGUGCGUAACGCGUAUGCAAUCUACCUUUUACAGAGGGAUAGCCCAGAGAAAUUUGGAUUAAUACCUCAUAGUAUAGCAGUUUCGCAUGAAACCACUAUUAAAGUCACAACGGUAAAAGAUGAGCAUGCGUCCCAUUAGCUAGUUGGUAAGGUAACGGCUUACCAAGGCUACGAUGGGUAGGGGUCCUGAGAGGGAGAUCCCCCACACUGGUACUGAGACACGGACCAGACUCCUACGGGAGGCAGCAGUGAGGAAUAUUGGACAAUGGGCGCAAGCCUGAUCCAGCCAUGCCGCGUGCAGGAUGACGGUCCUAUGGAUUGUAAACUGCUUUUAUACAGGAAGAAACCCUGGUUCGUGAACCAGCUUGACGGUACUGUAAGAAUAAGGAUCGGCUAACUCCGUGCCAGCAGCCGCGGUAAUACGGAGGAUCCAAGCGUUAUCCGGAAUCAUUGGGUUUAAAGGGUCCGUAGGCGGUUUAAUAAGUCAGUGGUGAAAGCCCAUCGCUCAACGGUGGAACGGCCAUUGAUACUGUUAAACUUGAAUUAUUAGGAAGUAACUAGAAUAUGUAGUGUAGCGGUGAAAUGCUUAGAGAUUACAUGGAAUACCAAUUGCGAAGGCAGGUUACUACUAAUGGAUUGACGCUGAUGGACGAAAGCGUGGGUAGCGAACAGGAUUAGAUACCCU
rnacentral:rRNA from 1 species